rnacentral:misc_RNA from 1 species
AAGUCGUAACAAGGUUUCCGUAGGUGAACCUGCGGAAGGAUCAUUAUCGAGUCCAAUCCAGCUUAUUCUUGCUGUGCAUUAACUUGCACGCUCGGACAGGUUGGCUCUUUGACUUUACACACCUGUGCACCUUCGGUCUGCACUUUCCGACUUGAGCGAAAUUUAUUUUGCCCAAGUCCGCUCCUUGGAGUGGGAUUAGAAUCUUGCGUUGAAUUUAUUUUCAUAGCUCGUUCUGCAGGAAAGUCGUCCGUUUUUUUACACCUUUUUUGUAUGUCUCUGAAAAUUUUCGGUUGCUCUGUGAUGGGGCGAUCGUUCAAAUUAAAUACAACUUUCAGCAACGGAUCUCUUGGCUCUCC